UGGGGAAUAUUGCGCAAUGGGGGGAACCCUGACGCAGCCAUGCCGCGUGAAUGAAGAAGGCCUUAGGGUUGUAAAGUUCUUUCGGUAUUGAGGAAGGUUGAUGUGUUAAUAGCACAUCAAAUUGACGUUAAAUACAGAAGAAGCACCGGCUAACUCCGUGCCAGCAGCCGCGGUAAUACGGAGGGUGCGAGCGUUAAUCGGAAUAACUGGGCGUAAAGGGCACGCAGGCGGUUAUUUAAGUGAGGUGUGAAAGCCCUGGGCUUAACCUAGGAAUUGCAUUUCAGACUGGGUAACUAGAGUACUUUAGGGAGGGGUAGAAUUCCACGUGUAGCGGUGAAAUGCGUAGAGAUGUGGAGGAAUACCGAAGGCGAAGGCAGCCCCUUGGGAAUGUACUGACGCUCAUGUGCGAAAGCGUGGGGAGCAAACAGGAUUAGAUACCCUGGUAGUCCACGCUGUAAACGCUGUCGAUUUGGGGGUUGGGGUUUAACUCUGGCGCCCGUAGCUAACGUGAUAAAUCGACCGCCUGGGGAGUACGGCCGCAAGGUUA
rnacentral:rRNA from 1 species